UACAGCCAUAUCACAUUUAAACACCAGUUCUCGUACAAUCACUGAAGUUAAGCAACAUCAAGCCUGGUCAGUAUCUUGAUGGGUGACCGCUUGGGAAUA